ACAGCACUUUGAGAUAUCAGCUGAUGUAAGAAGGGCUAUCAGUCAUCUAGUGUUUCUAUAAAUGAUUGGUAAUUACUCGUCAAAUCUGCCAUGACGGGGAAUGGAAGCUUGUUUUGUGUAACGGGGAGGGUCAAUUGAAUGCAAAAGCUACCCAGUACACAUUAAGUUGGACGUUGGUUACAAUGCUCUCGUAAAGUUUAUUUGUCACACACUGUCACUACAUGACGGAUAAUGUAUCAUGUGUGUAGUCAUUUAUGUAGUAAUUAAAAUGCUUCUUAGUGCUUUUGGCAUGUGUCAAGUAAAAUAAUUGGCGGCAGCCUAUUAGAAGACUUGGAGGCGUGGCUUGUUGGGAGUGUAUCUCCCAUGGGACGGUUUGUCAUGCCAGUUAAAGUGUUAAAUUGUGUUCUGUAAAGGUUAAACUCUUGGGGAUUCUCAAGAUAAAGGGGUACACCUGAAUGGUUGUCGGACUUGGGAACCCAUUAAAGUGGGUAGGAAAAAAAGGAAUAAAGUAUAAUAUUAAGAGUAAAUGGAGUGCUGGAGAAUGAAAUUGAACAUAAUGAGACUGAGGAUUAAUUAACUGCGGUGGCAGGUGUCGGGAAGACCGCCGAGUUUGAGCCUCGUCCGAUGAGGAUAAUUUUUUUUUGUUGCUAAAUUGGAGAGAAUGUGUCCUUGACUUCUGGCUGAUCCACAUAUGGUUUCGGGUUGAGUGGAGUAGAGGUUGGAGAAUGUUGGGUCGGUGAAAGUGACUCGAAGUGGAAUCAUGUGGAUUUUUUUGUUUGUUGCGUUUCUGCCAUCCAGAAGGACAAGAACUGAGACUUGCUUUCCUCUCCAUUGCAGGGCGCCGUUGAAAGGAGUGAUAACUGGAGUUGAAGAUUCCUGGUGUCUGUGACACCUGCCGUUUGGUGCGAUGCAGAACCGGUGGAGAGCGUGGUGAAACAGAGAAGACUCUCUGUAAUACUGAGUUUUGAUGCAGAGUUUUUACCAGAUAAAGUCAAGUUAUGGUCAUGUGGCAGCUGUCUAGUUAACUAUGUGUAUGACACCACCUACUGGUGCUGAGUACUCGCUGACACUACCUACAGCAGAUUACGAAACAAGGAAACCAUUCAGCUGUGGGAAGAUCUUCCACCACCACACCACUAACACACAAACAGAUUUCCUUCCUAACCUCAUGUCCUCAAACUCAGGUCUGGAAACUGAGGCCAUCUCUGUAAGGAACUCACUGUUGGUCCAUGUGAGAGUGAGGGGGAGCCAGAUUCCUUUCAUGAGCAUCUGUAGAGCUGCAUCUGCACUGCUGAAGGAGAAUGCCCAACAUUCCCAGAAUACGAACACAUACCGCUGUAGAUCAGACUAAAGCAGGACUUCUAUACAGACUACUUAUAGUCAUAGCAUCUGUAUGAUAUAUCCAGCUUAUUACAUGAGUUUGGGUUUCUAAUGAAAUGUCUCUCUUUAAGGCUAUUGUUGUCAUUAAUCAUUUCAAAGAGCCAUGCCCAAAAACAGAAAUACCAAGACAGUCUAAACAGCUUAAUCUUUUGAAGUUAGGAAUGCAAUUUCGGAUGCAGCGUCGCAGGACAAACAUGCCCAAAUAAAGUAUAAGACAGACUUCAGUUGCCUCAAAUUUGACCUUCCCUAUGCUGGUCAUAUGUCACAAACGUAGACAAGAAAUGUAUCUAACUCAGAGCAGACCUGGCUUCAAUACAUGCAUAUCUGUGUAUUUUCAAAUGAUUUCACCAAAUCAACUCCUUUAAUUUUAAGUAUUCUUUAAUAAUUAUAUUAAUAGCCAUUCUCAGUUACUUCAAAUACCCCUAGGACCAAAUGGACAAAUGCAAAGAGUAUUUUAAAAUUUGUAUUCGAAAAUACACUUCUGUGCAUUUAAGUACACGCCAGUACUUUUAAAGUGUAUUUCCAAGUACAUUGCAAUAUUCAACUACUUGUAUUUCCAAAUAAAAAAUAUCAAAAUAUUAACUUCAAGUGUUUUUGUAAGUAAUUGUGUCACGUUCGUCAUCACGCAGCGUGAUACGAAUACAUACUCUUUAAUUAAACAAAGAAACACUAAACAAACUUACAAAACGAACGUGACGCUAUAUAAACCGAUUGCUGACACAGGCAACUACACUAGACAAUAACCCAAGGAAUAUGGCUACCUAAAUAUGGUCCCCAAUCGGAGACAACGAUAAACAUCAUUGAUUGAGAACCAAUCUAGGCAACCAUAGAUAUAAAAACACCUAGAAUUAGAAACAUCCCCAUAAACAUAGAAAAACCCGAGACAGGGUCAACACAUAUAUCACCCUCGUCACACCCUGACCUAACCAAAAUAAUAAAGAAAACAAAGAAUACUAAGGUCAGGGCGUGACAAAUUGAAAUACCCUAAAUAGUAUUUGCACCCAGGUCUGCCUUAGAAUUCAUUAGGCUAGAUGUAAGUAUACAGUAUGCUACUAAUAGUGUAUGAACGUGUUUGCAUCUUUACUGUAAACUGUAACAUGAACAUGCAUCUUAGCUUUGCAGUAAACAUUCAACAUCGCCAUCUGUUGGCCACGUGCUGUCUAUUAUAAUUUACGACUACUGAGCUCCAGCAAAGUAAACAUUAAGUUGAAAAAGUAAAUCCGGUGAAAACCUCAGGAUGCUUUUAGAAUCAUUUUUAAGAGGUGAAAUAUCAUGCUGGGUUAGUUAGAGAGGAUUAGAGCAGUGGAAACGAGACCUCGGCAGAGCCUCAGGGAGUAUAAGGUAAGGCACAACACACACGGGUAUAAGUACACUAUUGUAAGUACUUAGGCUACCUGAUCUCACCUUGGCUGCAACAUUUCACCCCCCUAAGAAUAAUCCCUGGGAUGUUAUGUAACCACUACUGAGCUCUCUCUGUUUUGUACACUAGUUUGUUACCUGUGCUUGUAAUUUCUGGUCACUAUGCUCAAUUUGGAGAGCCUCAUCACACAGUUUGUUUAUCUAAUGACAUAUUCACACUGUGAUAGUGUUUCUCCUUUUCAUAUAAAUGGAAAAAAGGAGAUAUCCAUACAAAAUGUCCUGAAGUAUUACUGCAGUUACAUGUCAUUAUAAUGUUGUGAAGGAGAUACAUAUGAUAUUCUAUUAACAUAAAUAGACACACAGCAAAUAAAAAUCAACAAGUGUACAUUUAUUGAAUUAGUAGAUAUUACAUGUUGGCAGUGUACACCCACAGAGAAAGUCUGGCCACAUAGCAUAUUUCCGUAUGAAAGGUGCCUUUCUCAAGCAUUUGGCUGCCUCCCUGUCACAUUUGCAGAGAAUCUUCUCACAUUUGUCCUUGAGAUCAUCUGGAAUGAAAAGAGGGUUAAGUGGGUGAGUAGUUCCCUUAAAUGACAGCUGAUGUGAAAGGAGUGGUCUGUGGAGGAUGUGAAGGAAACACCCUGAGGUUUAGAAAUGUUAGAAAAUGUCUGAUGCUCAAAUAAACACCGUAAAC